AGGAAUUUGACCUUUUCACUCUUCUUUCCCGAACUCGAAAUCCCCAAUACCUCGACAAAACCCUAGAUUUUCUAAUUUCUCUCAAUACCGUCCUCCUCUGCAAAUCCCUCUUUCUUCAACUAAAAAGGGUUUCAUCAGUUGUACAUGGAUUAUUUCAAGUUCCUCCCUUUGGAGAUAACGUUAGAUAUACUAACUCGACUACCAGCUGAAUCAAUUAUGGAUUGUAAAUCAGUGUCUAAAUCCUGGACAAGUGCAGUUGGGCAUCCAUCAUUCUCCAAGUUGCGUCAUCUAAAUCAUCCUGCUGAUGAUAAAUCUGCUAAAUUUGUCUUCAGCGGAUGAAACUCGAGAAAAGGAUGACAAUUAUCCCCAGUUUUGUGAGUCUGAAACGUGUUUGGUUGAUCUUUCUUCAAGGGGCCUUGAUUUCAAGAAGGGAGCCAGUUGACUGGGUUGUACAGGGUUCUUUUGUAGCUUUAGGUGGACUGUCCAGAUGACGAAAAAUCUUACAUUCACAGAGUUGGUUGUACUGCUCGUAAUUGUGCUAUAGGGAGAUCUGUGCUAUUUUGAUCCCUCGGAAGAAGAAAUGCUCAAAAAAUUGCACUAGAAAAGUACCAACUAAGCUGAUUG